UAACAUAAACCAUUUAGCUUUCCAUUAAGAGUGAAAGCAGUUGCUCGAGUCACGUAAAGAACAAAGUUUCCCAUAGGGAACUAAGCACAGGUCCAGGUUUACCCAUCCAGUGUGACAGUAAAACAGAGUUGCUGAAGGAUCUGAAUCGACAGGAAACAGUGCAGGUGUUGAGGAGCUAUGACUUU